GCUGCUGUAGCCCAAUUGGAAGAGGUGCUGGUCUUAGAAACCAGAGGUUGUGGGUUCGACUCCCACUAGCAGUACCA
rnacentral:tRNA from 1 species